CACUCUCUCAGUCAUUUCUUUUUUGAGAGUUCUCAAACUCUCCCUUCUCCCCGACUGAGAGCUUCAUAUGUAUCUAGUCUCACAGGCCCCUACUAUCUGAUGGCCAUCUCCACAUCAAAUCAGCCCUAAAUCUGACUGGAGAUCUUAACUGGCUACCCAAAUCGACCCAAAAACCAUUGUUUCCUCCUGUAACCUCCCUAUUUAGCCUCGUCUGAACCCCCUAAAAUGAAACGACGCCUCGACAACCCUUCUCCAACGAAGCUCACGACAGCGAUUCCUCUACCAUCUCCUUAUAUCUCAACCCGAGAGUAACCAGAUUGCCCCCAACAGAUCCUUUUAAACUUAUAUGCAAAAACCCCUAAAGUGAUGGAUAGACCAAACGACUACCUUGACUCUGGCGAGGACUCAAUUGACUAAGACGAUAGAACCCCAAACGUCUAUGAGACAUAGCCGAUGAGACUCCACCGGUGUUCGCACAACUCAGGUAACCCAACCCUCUCACUUUAUUUUCUAUUUAUUUCAAAACCAAAGCACAUACACAGCACACUGAAAAUCGAAAGAAAGAUGGAUGAUACCUAAAAAAGCAUAUUUGCUUUAUAUUUCCUUCACGUAAAAAUGAGGGUCCAGUCUUUUUACAAAUGUUCUAUGUGGGUGUAAUACCUGAUUAAAAAAUUCCCCCAAAAAAUGAAAUUUUCCUUCCCCUUUUCUGGUUGUUAUAUACUCUGGUUCCUGUUUUUUUUUUUUUGGGAUCCCAGGGGACCCUUUUUACAAUCGCCGUUGGGAUUUUAUAGAACCCCAUUUACAAUAAAAAAUGAUUAAAA